rnacentral:misc_RNA from 1 species
AAGUCGUAACAAGGUUUCCGUAGGUGAACCUGCGGAAGGAUCAUUACCAUAUGUGACACCCACUUACCACUUGUGAACCGAGUCUCAUGUCCUUGGGGGAGACGGAACUUGAUUGGUUGAAAAUGGUUCCAGUGCAGUGACAGCGAAAUCUGUCCUGUGUUGUCCUACCCUUUUCUUCUGUCUCUUUCCUCUUCCCCAGCGGUACGCCUGUCAGCUGCAUGCAGUUGGCUGUUGUAUACGCACCUGAUGUAAACCACAUGUACAAUGUUUAAACAGGUUGAAAUAAUAUUUUCUCUUUUUGAGAAAUCAAAAAGAAUUCUGACAACUUUUAACGGUGGAUCUCUUGGCUCGU